GUGAAUGUUAUAACACUAUUUCAGGUAGAUCUUUAUUCUUUAGUAUUUUCUAAGUGAAUAUGGUGCAAUUAGUACUAUUUAUCAUGUACCAGUUCUGUUAUUUUCUAUAUUUUGCUUCUGCCACCUAUUUUGGAGGACAAUUAAUGUCUUGAAAGUAGUAUUUCAUGUUUGUAUCCUCCUUGAUCAUUUUUUCCAAUUGCAUAUGUUUGCUUUCCCUUUUCAAUUAGAUGAAGCUAAUUUUAUUUGAAAGAGAAAAGUACAGAGCAAGAUGGGGAUUAGAGUUCUAGAUCAUAAAUUGGUAAGAAAAUCCCAUUACAAAGAGUGGAAUUGUUAGUUUGCCCAAAUGGCUCAAAGCAAUGCUAAAGGUUGAGCUUAGGAAAAUUCUAGCUUGAUGAGCUUACUGUUUAUAACAGUUGGUUUUAAUAUUAUGAGCUUAGAAUGACUGUUACUGUGGUUUAUACUAACUGAGGCUCUUAACUUGGAUAUAUGGUUUGAGCUUUUGACUUUAUCCCUUAAAUCCUCCAAUUCUGCAAAAUUUAGCAUCCACUCUGAUGUGUAAUGAAGAUAAAAUUCAUUAUUUUAAUAUCAUUUAUAUG
rnacentral:misc_RNA from 1 species